GAGUUUGAUCGUGGCUCAGGAUGAAUGCUGGCGGCGCGCCUAACACAUGCAAGUCGAGCGGAAAGGCCCUUCGGGGUACUCGAGCGGCGGACGGCUGAGUAACGCGUGGGAACAUGCCCCAAAGUGAGGAAUAAGCUCCAGAAAUGGAGUCUAAUGCCGCAUAUGAUCUUCGGAUUAAAGGAUUUAUCCGCUUUGGGAGUGGCCCGCGUACGAUUAGGUAGUUGGUGAGGUAAAGGCUCACCAAGCCCACGAUCGUUAACUGGUCUGAGAGGAUGAUCAGUCAGACUGGAACUGAGACACGGUCCAGACUCCUACGGGAGGCAGCAGUGAGGAAUCUUCCACAAUGGGCGAAAGCCUGAUGGAGCGACGCCGCGUGCAGGAU
rnacentral:rRNA from 1 species